AUGUGCGGGCUUUCGAUCUGUUCUGUGUGUUACAUUUUGGGCUCUAGAAUCGGGUGUUUUCGCGGCCCGGGUUGAUGGAAUCAUACACAACCCUAUUCUAAAGAAUUGAGGAGAUGGAGAUCGUCUUCCACGGCGGUGACGCCCUAAGAUUCUUCUCACUUUAGGAUUUCAUUGUCUUCUUCGAUCUGUCACGACCUGAACCAACCAUGGAGAUUCUGAAAUUUGAUGGAGACGAAUCAUCGUGGAGAAACUAUGAUUCUAGGGUUCGUCGUCUCUGGAAAACAAGGUUCUGUGUAUCAACAAUGGUGAUUAUGAAACAGGGCGUGACUCGCCGCUUCGUCGGAACUCUAAGUCGUUUUCUCGAUUCGUUUCCUUCAAACAGUUACAAGUCGCAUUGAUGAAUCGUCAUUAACUAUGCUUUAACUCUUCCUGCCUACAAUCAAUCUAAUCCAUCUUGGAAGCGGUGAUUCUCACCUAUAAAAAGAAGGCUGGCCGUUGUUCUUCCACGGUGGAGGUGCGACUGCUCCGAUUCUGGGAGGCAAGAAACAUUAAACAUGGUGGCGACUAGAUGGGUGUGGACAUGUUCUUCCUCGACGCUGAGGUUGUUUCUUUCUUCAGACUCAUCGUAUCUUGAAACAGAUUCUGACGUAUAAAAUAUAAUCUCAGAAAUUUUUGAAUCUUUGAGUAUACAUAUUUAUUUCACUUUUUGGUACGACAAUGAGGCCGUUCAGUUAUAUUUUCAGAGGUUAGUGAUGACGACAAUGCUUAGGAUGGUAGUUAAGAGAAAAACUGGCAUGGCUCCCGAGUAGUCCUCACAGCUGCCAGAUAUGGUGGCAAAGUUGGAGCCAGAGGCACAGCCGAAAACAAAUCAAGAAUUGGAGGCAGAGGAGUCAAAGGCAGGAGAUGAUUUUGAUUCAGCAAAACCAAUCAAACAUACCCCUAUAAUCCUGGAAACUCUGCAUAGAAUCUUUCCACUCCAGGCAGUGCAAGCUCAAGAUCUCAGUCUCAGCCAGCACAAUUAAGGAAGUAUAAGAGCAGUAUUCCUCCUGCGACUGCUCUUCCUCCAAAGGCUAAUGAAGUGUUGCGAAAGUAGGAAACGGAUCGACCAAAACUCAGUUGAAGGUGUGAAGAAAGAUGUCAACAAGAUCUUUGAGUUGAUGUGUCAGGUCUUUUUGCUUCCCAGCAAAAGCAGAAAACCAGGAGGGUUACAUUCUGAAGAUGGUGAAGUGGAGAAUAACGAAUCCUUUCCAAGUAUACAUGUUAAUGAAGAAGAUCUUAAGAGACUCAAGGAUUUCAGACUAUUAGAGACGUGCUCUUGGAGCUUAGUACUGACAUCAAGAUUUGUUUCCUGAGCUUUGUUGUGCUCCCGGAGAAUCAAGAAGUCAACAAGAUGAUGCUCUUUAUUGGUGUAUUGUGAAGCCAUUCUUCCUGGUGAAGUCAAACCUAAGAGACAUUCUCAAGGAGUUCAUGGAAAAUAUUUGAUUGAGCAUGUUGAAAAUUAAUGCAAAGUUUGAGCCAAAUAGCUUUAUGACAA